rnacentral:rRNA from 1 species
CCUUAGGAUGAACGCUGGCGGCGUGCUUAACACAUGCAAGUCGAACGAACCUUCGGGUUAGUGGCGGACGGGUGAGUAACGCGUGAGAAUCUGCCCUCAGGAGGGGGAUAACGGCUGGAAACGGCCGCUAAUACCCCAUAUGCCGAGAGGUGAAAUGAAUUUCGCCUGAGGAUGAGCUCGCGUCUGAUUAGCUAGUUGGUGGGGUAAAGGCCUACCAAGGCUUCGAUCAGUAGCUGGUCUGAGAGGAUGAUCAGCCACACUGGGACUGAGACACGGCCCAGACUCCUACGGGAGGCAGCAGUGGGGAAUUUUCCGCAAUGGGCGAAAGCCUGACGGAGCAACGCCGCGUGAGGGAUGAAGGCCUCUGGGCUGUAAACCUCUUUUAUCAAGGAAGAAGAUCUGACGGUACUUGAUGAAUAAGCCACGGCUAAUUCCGUG